AUUGAACGCUGGCGGCAUGCUUUACACAUGCAAGUCGAACGGUAACAGGCCGCAAGGUGCUGACGAGUGGCGAACGGGUGAGUAAUGCAUCGGAACGUGCCCAGUCGUGGGGGAUAACGCAGCGAAAGCUGCGCUAAUACCGCAUACGAUCUAUGGACGAAAGCGGGGGACCGUCAGGCCCCGCGCGAUUGGAGCGGCCGAUGUCAGAUUAGGUAGUUGGUGGGGUAAAGGCUCACCAAGCCAACGAUCUGUAGCUGGUCUGAGAGGACGACCAGCCACACUGGAACUGAGACACGGCCCAGACUCCUACGGGAGGCAGCAGUGGGGAAUUUUGGACAAUGGGCGCAAGCCUGAUCCAGCAAUGCCGCGUGCAGGAAGAAGGCCUUCGGGUUGUAAACUGCUUUUGUACGGAACGGAAAGGCUCUGGUUAAUACCUGGGGCUCAUGACGGUACCGUAAGAAUAAGCACCGGCUAACUACGUGCCAGCCGCCGCCGUAAUAC
rnacentral:rRNA from 1 species